UGAGGAAGUGACAGAGUGGUUAUUGUGCUUGGCUGUAAACCAAGUUCGUUUCGAGUCGUUGGUUCAAGUCCAACCUUCCUCAU
rnacentral:tRNA from 2 species